GAGGCGACGCGGAAUGCUCUCGGAGUGGACCAACUGUACUUUCGCGACCUAAGCAGCAGCAGCGCAUGCGCAGAAAUACUCCAAGCGCGCUCAGGCACUGGCGCAGGUUCGCCGAGCGCUAGGACUCUUGGGAAGAAGAAGGGGGUGGAGUCUGAGGGAGCGCGCAUGCGCUGUGUCUGCGACGCGAUGCCGCUGGGCUCCGAUCUGCUCCUGCGCCGUGUGGAGAUGCCGGUCCGUGGGGCGCGCCCUGAGGACGCUACUGCGCUGGGCUCCACGGACGGCUCCGCUGCGCACAGGGAGGAGCUCAACGGCAAGUAGAUUAAAGAACAGAAAAUUGUUGUCGAUGAACUUUCUAACUUGAAGAAGAAUAGGAAAGUAUAUAGGCAGCAACAGAACAGCAACAUAUUUUUUCUUGCAGACCGAACAGAAAUGCUUUCUGAAAGCAAAAGUAAGUUGGGGUUUUUUUGGUAUUUUUUUAGUAUUUGAUAUGGGAAGGCACAGAAAAUCCUUCAUCUGCUUUCUGUGGAAAUUCAGUUAAACUGCGUAUCUCUGAAUGUUUAAAUGUUUAUCUAAAGAUUAAUAGUGAUUUACGUUAGCCUUCCAAAAAGGAAUCGAUAGCAAAAACCCCUAUAAGAUGUGUUAAAACCAAUAGUUAUUAGCAUGUGCUUAAGAGUGACAGCUCUAAAUAUAAAAACCAUUAUACUAUUUUCUACCUUUGUGGCACUGAGUGAAAUACUUUGAUUCUAAGGCCUUGAAGGUUAUUCUGGGACAGAAUAAGCACUCAGUGAGCAGAAACUAUUUUUCUAAAAGAUUAACAUUCUUUGUUGGUAGCCCAUUAUAAAUUAUUACAGGCAC
rnacentral:lncRNA from 1 species